rnacentral:rRNA from 1 species
GAUGAACGCUGGCGGCGUGCCUAAUACAUGCAAGUCGAGCGAACAGACAAGGAGCUUGCUCCUCUGACGUUAUCGGCGGACGGGAGAGUAACACGUGGAUAACCUACCUAUAAGACUGGGAUAACUUCGGGAAACCGGAGCUAAUACCGGAUAAUAUAUUGAACCGCAUGGUUCAAUAGUGAAAGACGGUUUUGCUGUGACUUAUAGAUGGAUCCGCGCCGCAUUAGCUAGUGGGUAAGGUGACGGCUUACCAAGGCAACGAUGGGUAGCCGACCCGAGAGGGUGGUCCGCCACCCUGGAACUGAGACACGGUCCAGACUCCUACAGGAGGCAGCAGUAGGGACUCUUCCGCAAUGGGCGAGAGCUUGACGGAGCAACGCCGCGUGAGUGAUGAAGGUCUUCGGAUCGUAAAACUCUGUUAUUAGGGAAGAACAAAUGUGUAAGUAACUAUGCACGUAUUGACGGUACCUAAUCAGAAAGCCACGGCUAACUCCGUG